rfam:Oryza sativa (indica cultivar-group) chromosome 2, whole genome shotgun sequence.
AAAAAGACAAAACAUAUGUUUCUGUGCAAAUGUUUGACUGUCUGUCUUAUAUGAAAUUUUUUUAUAAUUAGUAUUUUCAUUGUUGUUAGAUGAUAAAAUAUAAUUAAUACUUUAUGCGUGACUUAUCUUUUUUAAUUUUUUUCAUAGUUUUUUCAAAUAAGACGGACGGUCAAACGUUGGACACGGAUUUCCACUGCUGCACUUAUU